rnacentral:rRNA from 1 species
UACGUAGGGUGCGAGCGUUGUCCGGAAUUAUUGGGCGUAAAGAGCUCGUAGGCGGUUUGUCGCGUCGGCCGUGAAAACUUGGGGCUUAACCCCAGCUUGCGGUCGAUACGGGCAGACUUGAGUUCGGCAGGGGAGACUGGAAUUCCUGGUGUAGCGGUGAAAUGCGCAGAUAUCAGGAGGAACACCGGUGGCGAAGGCGGGUCUCUGGGCCGAUACUGACGCUGAGGAGCGAAAGCGUGGGGAGCAAACAGG